CUACGGGGGGCAGCAGUGGGGAAUAUUGCACAAUGGAGGAAACUCUGAUGCAGCAACGCCGCGUGGAGGAUGACACUUUUCGGAGCGUAGACUCCUUUUAUAUAGGAAGAAGAUGACGGUACUAUAUGAAUAAGCGCCGGCUAACUCCGUGCCAGCAGCCGCGGUAAUACGGAGGGCGCAAGCGUUACUCGGAAUCACUGGGCGUAAAGAGCGUGUAGGCGGAUUAAAAAGUCAGAAGUGAAAUCCUAUAGCUUAACUAUAGAACUGCUUCUGAAACUCUUAAUCUAGAAUAUGGGAGAGGUAGAUGGAAUUUCAGGUGUAGGGGUAAAAUCCGUAGAGAUCAGAAGGAAUACCGAUUGCGAAGGCGAUCUACUAGAACAUUAUUGACGCUGAGACGCGAAAGCGUGGGGAGCAAACAGGAUUAGAUACCCGAGUAGUC
rnacentral:rRNA from 1 species